rnacentral:rRNA from 1 species
AGAGUUUGAUCAUGGCUCAGGAUGAACGCUGGCGGCGUGCCUAAUACAUGCAAGUAGAACGCUGAAGGAAGGAGCUUGCUCUUUCCGGAUGAGUUGCGAACGGGUGAGUAACGCGUAGGUAACCUGCCUGGUAGCGGGGGAUAACUAUUGGAAACGAUAGCUAAUACCGCAUAACAGUAGAUGUUGCAUGACAUCUACUUGAAAGGUGCAAUUGCACCACUACCAGAUGGACCUGCGUUGUAUUAGCUAGUUGGUGAGGUAACGGCUCACCAAGGCGACGAUACAUAGCCGACCUGAGAGGGUGAUCGGCCACACUGGGACUGAGACACGGCCCAGACCUCCUACGGGAGGCA